UACGUAGGGUGCAAGCGUUAAUCGGAAUUACUGGGCGUAAAGCGUGCGCAGGCGGUGAUGUAAGACAGGUGUGAAAUCCCCGGGCUUAACCCUGGGAACUGCAUUUGUGACUGCAUGGCUAGAGUACGGUAGAGGGGGAUGGAAUUCCGCGUGUAGCAGUGAAAUGCGUAGAGAUGCGGGAGGAACACCGAUGGCGAAGGCAGCCCCCUGGGCUGACACUGACGCUCAGGCACGAAAGCGUGGGGAGCAAACA
rnacentral:rRNA from 1 species